ACGUACUGUUCUUCUUCUUAAAAAAACACGCGAUCAAGCCCCAAAUUCCAUCCAAGUUCAUGGCGAGUGAGCAUCAAUCUUCAACCCACGCAUUCCCCCCAUCCCUCUUCUCUCCGUUCUAACGGAUUUCUCACCAAAGAUUCUCAUUCAUAUCAGUCGCCUGAUUUUGAACCAUCUCACGCGAUUGGAAGGCCCCAGAGAAUGUUUGUUGGAUGAGUGUGAGAAGUUGGAUGAAUCUCAUUGAAUCCAAGCCCCACAUUUAUUAGAGGUCGGUUUUCAAAAGGGGGCAACUCCAAUUUUGUGAGGGGAUUUUGGAGAAAAAUUUUUCAGAGAGAGUGAAAAAAGUGAAACGUUUCCUGUGACAAAUAUUUUCAAAGUUGAUUUACUUGGGCGAGGCUAUUUAAGUUUAAGAGAAGCAUAGAUACAAUUUUUUCUUCUCAUUUUUCAAGAUACGGAUUUUAGUUCUAAGAAGAUAAAAUUGAAGUUCAAGCUGGGUUUUACUGUCGAUUCACUGAGUUUGUUGCUGUCUGAGCUUCUAAUUUUUACUCAUUAGCUUUCAGCUUUCAUUGUAUUCGAAGCUCGAACAGAGUUAAACGGGUUGUUACUGAUUCAGGUUCAUUUUUAUUUUUAUCUCUUGUAGCCCGUUUUUGGCAUUUGAUUCAGAACUAUAUCGAGAAUACGAGUUCAACUGGGUUGGAACUAUUUGAACCUUGGUGAUUGUUGGUCG
rnacentral:lncRNA from 1 species